UACGUAGGUGGCAAGCGUUGUCCGGAUUUACUGGGCGUAAAGAGCGCGCAGGCGGUCGUUCAAGUCGCGUGUGAAAGCCCCCGGCUCAACUGGGGAGGGUCACGCGAUACUGAUCGACUCGAAGGCAGGAGAGGGUAGUGGAAUUCCCGGUGUAGUGGUGAAAUGCGUAGAUAUCGGGAGGAACACCAGUGGCGAAGGCGACUACCUGGACUGGUACUGACGCUGAUGCGCGAAAGCGUGGGGAGCAAACAGG
rnacentral:rRNA from 1 species